UAGGGAAUCUUCCACAAUGGACGCAAGUCUGAUGGAGCAACGCCGCGUGAGUGAAGAAGGGUUUCGGCUCGUAAAGCUCUGUUGUUAAAGAAGAACAUAUCUGAGAGUAACUGUUCAGGUAUUGACGGUAUUUAACCAGAAAGCCACGGCUAACUACGUGCUAG
rnacentral:rRNA from 1 species